rnacentral:rRNA from 1 species
CAACCUACCUAUCAGAGGGGAAUAACCCGGCGAAAGUCGGACUAAUACCGCAUAAAACAGGGGCACCGCAUGGUGAUAUUUGUUAAAGAAAUUCGCUGAUAGAUGGGCAUGCGUUCCAUUAGGUAGUUGGUGAGGUAACGGCUCACCAAGCCGACGAUGGAUAGGGGAACUGAGAGGUUGGUCCCCCACACUGGUACUGGGACACGGACCAGACUCCUACGGGAGGCAGCAGUGAGGAAUAUUGGUCAAUGGGCGGGAGCCUGAACCAGCCAAGUCGCGUGAAGGAAGAAGGAUCUAUGGUUCGUAAACUUCUUUUGCAGGGGAAUAAAGUGCAGGACGUGUCCUGUUUUGUAUGUACCCUGAGAAUAAGGAUCGGCUAACUCCGUGCCAGCAGCCGCGGUAAUACGGAGGACCCGAGCGUUAUCCGGAUUUAUUGGGUUUAAAGGGUGCGUAGGUGGUUUGAUAAGUCAGCGGUGAAAGUUUGCAGCUUAACUGUAAAAUUGCAGUUGAUACUGGGUGUCUUGAGUACAGUAGAGGCAGGCGGAAUUCGUGGUGUAGCGGUGAAAUGCUUAGAUAUCACGAAGAACUCCGAUUG